rnacentral:rRNA from 1 species
ACUCAAAUGAAUUGACGGGGACCCGCACAAGCGGUGGAGCGUGUUGUUUAAUUCGAUGGUAAGCGAAGAACCUUACCCAGGUUUGACAUCUUCGGAAGGCUUCCGAAAGGAAACUGUGCCGUAAGGAACCGAAUGACAGGUGAUGCAUGGCCGUCGUCAGCUCGUGUCGUGAGAUGUUUGGUUAAGUCCAUCAACGAGCGCAACCCUUAUAGUUAGUUGUAUUUCUCUAGCUAGACUGCCCUGGUAACAGGGAGGAAGGAGGGGAUGAUGUCAGGUCCGUAUCUCCCUUACAUCUGGGGCUACAAACACGCUACAAUGGCCGGUACAAAGGGCAGCCAAGUCGCGAGACGGAGCAAAUCCCAUCAAAGCCGGUCUCAGUUCGGAUUGCAGGCUGAAACUCGCCUGCAUGAAGCCGGAAUCGCUAGUAACGGUGAGUCAGCACAUCACCGUGAAUACGUUCCCGGGUCUUGUACACACCGCCCGU